UACGAGGGGGGCAAGCGUUGUUCGGAAUUACUGGGCGUAAAGGGCGCGUAGGCGGCCUGCUAAGUCGAACGUGAAAUCCCUGGGCUCAACCCAGGAACUGCGUCCGAUACUGGCUGGCUUGAAUUCGGGAGAGGGAUGCGGAAUUCCAGGUGUAGCGGUGAAAUGCGUAGAUAUCUGGAGGAACACCGGUGGCGAAGGCGGCAUCCUGGACCGAUAUUGACGCUGAGGCGCGAAAGCCAGGGGAGCAAACGGG
rnacentral:rRNA from 1 species